UCCAAAAGAUCUUAUGUUUGAAAAGGCCCAACUAAUCCAACUCUAGAUGGCAGAAGGCUUUCUUCAUCCAUGUCAAGAGACCACCGUGAUGGAAGACAUCGGGAACAACUUCUUUCUACUCUUGUUGAGAAAUUCCUUGCUACAAGAUGUUGUGUUAGAUGAGCAUAACAAUAUAAAAUACUGUAAGAUGCACGAUCUUGUGCAUGAUUUGGCUGGAGAUAUCUUCAAAUCUAAACUAUUUGAUCAGAAGGGCAAUGAUGGAGAAAAACUUUCUCAAGUGCGAUACUUUGGGUGGGACUCACCAAGUGAUCAAAUAGAUAAGAUAAAUGAGCCAGGACGGUUGUGCACGCUGUUCUGGAGAAACAAUUAUAUAUCGGAAGAUAUGCUGUUGAGCUUUAAGUUCUUGAGAGUUUUAAAUUUGUCUAGAUCAGGAAUCAAGGAGUUGUCAGCCUUAAUCGGGAAGCUAAUAUACUUGAGAUAUCUAGAUAUCUCGAGCACUGAGAUCACAACCUUGCCCCACUCCAUUUGCAAGCUCUAUAAUUUGCAAACCUUUAGAGUCAAUUGUUGCUAUUCACUCAAGGAGUUUCCAUAUGAGAUGGGAAAUAUGAUAAGUUUGAGACACAUAUAUUUUUAUUCUUCGUCUCAGACGCCACUUAACUUGGGACAAUUGACUUGUCUUCAGACCCUACAGUAUUUCAAUGUGGGUUUGGAGAAAGGCCAUCGAAUAGAAGAAUUAGGUUGUUUGAAUAACCUUAGAGGUGAAUUGUGUAUCAAUGAGCUGGAAUUGGUCCAUAGUAGAGAAGAAGCUCUAACAGCAUAUUUACAAGAGAAAUCAAAUAUUUACAAGCUGACAUAUUUAUGGUCCCAUCAGGAAUCAGAAGGAUGUGAGAUUAAUGCUAAGCAUGUGUUGGAUGGUCUUCAACCACAUCCUAACUUGAAAACAUUUGAAGUGGUGAGAUAUUUGGGUACUAGAUUUCCUUCAUGGUUCAAUGAACAGUCGCUACCAAAUUUGGUCAAGUUGAAAUUAAGUAAUUGCAGAAGUUGCAAAGAAAUUCCAUCUCUUGGCCAACUGAAAUUCCUUCGGCAUCUUGAACUGGUAGGGUUCCAUAAGCUGGAAUGCAUCGGAACUACAUUUUAUGGUAUUGAGGUUAACAAUAUGGGAUCAAGUAGCAAUAAUGCCAUUAUCCAAGUGUUCCCAUCAUUAAAAGAACUAGUAUUGGAGAAUAUGCGUAGCCUUACUGAGUGGAAGGGAGUGGAAUCGAUACCAACAACAAGUGGGGUAAGAAUGUUUCCUGGGCUUGAGAAGUUGAGGAUUAGCUACUGUCCAUUGUUAAAAAGUACUCCGAAGCUAUUUGAAAUCCUACGUGAAUUGAGCAUUAAAGUAGUUGACAGUGAAAUGCCACUAUUGAAUUUGUGCAGCAACUUGACAUCUCUUGUAAAGCUUAGUGUCUCUUUUGUGGAAGAGCUCACUUGUUUUCCAGAUGAGAUGCUACGCAACAACGUUUCUCUUCAACACUUAUCGGUCUCAAACUGCAGAGAGUUUCGUGAAUUGCCACAGAGCUUGUACAAUCUGCAUUCUCUUAAGAGCUUAAUCAUUCAGUGCUGCACCAAUUUCAGUUCCUUUCCUGUUCCCAGUGGAGAGAAUUAUUUGACUUCCCUACAAAAUCUUCAGCUAUGGAGUUGUGGUGGAUUGGCCAGUUUACCAAGUGGAAUGCUAGAGAAAUGCCGGUCUCUACAGAAUUUGAGGGUCAACUAUUGUAACAACUUAGUUUCCUUCCCUUUACAUGCGGGGGACAUGCCUUCACUUUCCUAUUUGUCUAUAGCACACUGUCCCAAAUUGGAUAGUGUACCCACAGGGGGCCUUCACCAUCUCACCAGGUUAAGGGAAUUGGAAAUUGGUCCCGUCUCAGAUAUGGUGGAUUUUGAGGCAUUCCAAUUGACUUUUAAUGGCAUUCAGCAGCUGUUGUCCCUUCGUACUCUGCUUGUGUUCGGACAUUUGCACUGGGAUUCUCUGCCCUAUCAGCUUAUGCAACUCUCUGCCCUAACUCAUAUACAUAUAUGUGAUUUCGGAAUCGAGGCUCUUCCUCAUAGACUUGACAAUCUUACUUCUCUUGAAGUAUUACGUUUAGUGAGGUGCAAACGGCUGCAACAUGUGGACUUCUCAGAUGCCAUGCCCAAAUUACAGUAUCUAACCAUCUGUGGUUGUCCAUUGUUAGAAGCUCUGUCGGAUGGGCUUGGCAACCUUGUUACUUUGCAACAGUUAAGAUUAGAGAACUGCGAAAAACUGGAGCAUCUGCCAUCCAGAGAGGCCAUGCGACGCCUCACUAAAUUAUGGUACCUAAAAAUUAAAGGGUGCCCAAAGUUAGAAGAAAGUUGCAACAAUCGGAGUGGCCCAAACACCCAGUGGUCCAACAUUUCCCAUAUUCCAAAAGUUAAAGUAGGUGGAAGCAUAAUUCAGGACUUGCUUUCUUUUGCGUAAGAGGAGGUGAACUGUAGAGAGGAAAAAGCUGACCUAAUUUGACUUCUAUUCAAUUUGCAUCAGUGGUGCUUUUGGAGACUCUGAUUGUAUGUCGUUUGAGAUUUUAAGUCCUUCCUGUCUUGUGGAUAUCAAUAAAUCUUCAAGAUUUGUUUCCUCAAAUUCUCACCGAUGGAGUGGCUGCAGCCUCCAGUUCCAUCAUGUCCCAUUUGGGAUAUAUUGCACAGAGACGUGAUGGCAUUGAAAUGCUUAUACCAUUCUUGCUGACACUACAGUAAGUGAUUGCCUCACAUCUCAGUUAGAUUGACAAUCAUUAGCCACAAAGGGAAGAAAAGAGUAAAAGGAGUAUCAUAGAUGUCACCAAAGACGAAUGUACAAAUAACUCCCAAGGAUCCCCUGUCCUUAGGUCCUGAAAGAGACACCGAUCAUAUAUGAAAGUUACAUUCGAGUGGCUUUGAAGCUUGUGUCUUUACUUAUGUCUAGUAUAUAUGUAAUUUAUCUGAUGUAUCAUUGCCUAGUUGAUAUAUAGCUUCUCUCAUCUAGCUCUGUUUUGAAAUUUAUCUUGGCAUUUGCAUUAUUUUAAGUGCAAAUACUAUGAUGGUUCAAAUCUAGAGCUUGUGUUCCAAAUCGACAAGGCAUGCAAUGUCCUCUUUUGAUAUAUCAACUGUUUGUUGCAAAUUCAUGUGCUGUGUCUUGGUACUGAAGCACAACUCCUCACUAGAUAAUGCAUUUGGUGAGCUUACUAUUAAAAGCAUUUAUAACUACUGGAAACAGGAGUACUUACCAUUCGGAGUUAAACAGUAU